UGGGGAAUAUUGCACAAUGGACGGAAGUCUGAUGCAGCAACGCCGCGUGCGGGAUGACGGCCUUCGGGUUGUAAACCGCUUUUUCUCAUGACGAAGUUUUUUGACGGUAGGGGGGGAAGAAGCACCGGCUAACUACGUGCCAGCAGCCGCGGUGAUACGUAGGGUGCGAGCGUUGUCCGGAAUUAUUGGGCGUAAAGAGCUUGUAGGCGGUUUGUCGCGUCGAUAGUGCAAACUCAGUGCUUAACGCUGAGCCUGCUGUUGAUACGGGCAGACUAGAGGAAGGUAGGGGAGAAUGGAAUUCCCGGUGGAGCGGUGGAAUGCGCAGAUAUCGGGAGGAACACCGGUGGCGAAGGCGGUUCUCUGGGCCUUUCCUGACGCUGAGAAGCGAAAGCGUGGGGAGCGAACAGG
rnacentral:rRNA from 1 species